rnacentral:tRNA from 5 species
GCGCCUGUAGCUCAGAUGGAUAGAGCAACGGACUUCUAAUCCGUAGGUCGCAGGUUCGAAUCCUGCCAGGCGUACCA